ensembl:lncRNA
GCCUGGAGUUACCUGUGCUUCUCAAUUUGCAAGAAUUUGGAGUUCAAGGUUGCUUGCUGUGCCUACUCUCUGCACUAAUACUGCCCAUCCUUAUCUACCCCUCUCUGUCUCAGUUUCCUCUGGGUAUGUUGCCCCAUCUCCUGUCUGUGGUUUGGAAGCUCUAUGGGGAAAGAAGGUGAGAGACCUAUCUUUCACUGUGAGUUUGUAAAGUAUGAGACUUUGCUCUCAGUCCUACUUCAUUAAGCAGAGGUGAACCUACCUUUAAGUGAGGACUCAAAUCUGAAAUCUGAAUAUAAAGCAGACGGUCGGAGGGCUUCUCUUCCAGCCAGCUCAACCUGGACAAAAAUGGCAGAGAAAACAGGGAGAUGAACAAUGCCAGCCUAUGCAGGGAAAACCUGAGGAUAAGCCCUGUGCUUUGGUGGGUACUGUAAUCUGCCUUUCAGAGACAAAGCGUGAACCUUCAAUCUUCAAGUAAAGCCACCUUACAAAAGCCCAGCUCCCCAAGGACUCUGCCACCGGGCAAGAAACAGGAAACCAACCCUCUCACAGGCAAGUGAAGAAGGGCAAGGAAAGAAAGAAAGAAGGAAAGAAAGAAAGAAAGAAAGGAAAUCAGGAAAAAACAAUGUUAAUGUGAACACUUACAACUGGAAACGGGUAGCAGGAUCACCACGGAAAAUGCCUGCUCUCUCCCUGGAGUUCAUCUGGGGCCCACGUGCUCGCUCCAUUUCCCCACCAGGGCACUGGGGGCUCUCAGAGGCGCUACAGGCAUCGUGGCUACAUGGAGGCAUGUAGCAAACCGGCUCUGAUUUCUGCCCAAAGGCAUCAGUGUCAUACCGGUCGGGAUGUCAGCUUGGGAGAAUGUCAAGGCAGCAGUCACGGUGUGCUGUCACAAAGAGAAAUAGAUAUCAUUUCAAACACACAGCUCUGGAGAGAGGAGGGAGAGGCAGAAAAGAGAAUCCCAUCAUGCACUUUUAGUGGGGGGAAGAGAAGAGAAGGAGGCUUAACUCUGUUUUGGCCAUACCGGAGGAGGCAGAGGGAGAGGAUGUACCACAUCCUCACAGCCACCACGCCAAUAGGCUAGGAGGGCCAGGGGAUGCUCCAGAGCAGGCUUCAUUCUUAGCUGUUUUAUUCACUUUGUUUCCAAAGGAGCUGGAAUUGGCCUCUAUGGAUUAUUUCCUGCUUUAUGGGCAUCCUUGGCCAGCAGGAAGCUUUGGUCUCAGUGCAAAGGAGGUGGAUAGUGACAUGGUGGCAGUGAACGGCUCCACUGGUUUUCUCUCCUCUUCAACUUACACCUCCACAUGUUGGUGAUAAAGGAGUCUUAAACCCAACCUCCCUCCUACUUCAAUUGUCUUAGUAAGAAUCAAGCCUUGUAGCAGGCAGCCCUGACUUAUAAACAUUGCAUGACAUCCUUCUCCAAAGUAGGACGGCUGUUACAGUCAGAACUUCCCCUGUUACAUGGGCCUUAUAUGGAGAUAUCCCAUUGCAUCUACCACAUGGGUGAAUUAGACUGUGCUGUUCCUGCAGCUGUGAAGUUCUCAGGCCUUGUUUUGCAAAGAGGAAACAAUAUGGAGGCAUUGUAUCCAGGUGACAUAAAGCAGCUGUGGCACAGCCAGGACUGAAAAACAGAGCAUCCGAAUCUCCUUCCCCACUACAGGAGCAUGCUGGGCAGCUCCUGUCUCUUACCUUUCC